AGCGAACGCUGGCGGCAGGCGUAACACAUGCAAGUCGAACGGAUCCUUCGGGAUUAGUGGCGGACGGGUGAGUAACACGUGGGAACGUGCCCUUUGGUUCGGAACAACUCAGGGAAACUUGAGCUAAUACCGGAUGUGCCCUUCGGGGGAAAGAUUUAUCGCCAUUGGAGCGGCCCGCGUCUGAUUAGCUAGUUGGUGAGGUAACGGCCCACCAAGGCGACGAUCAGUAGCUGGUCUGAGAGGAUGAUCAGCCACACUGGGACUGAGACACGGCCCAGACUCCCACGGGAGGCACCAGUGGGGAAUCUUGCGCAAUGGGCGAAACCCUGACCCGCCCCUGCCGGGUAAAUGAUGAAGGUCUUAGGUUUUUAAAUUUUUUUCAGCGGGGACGAUAAUGACGGUACCCGCAGAAGAAGCCCCGGCUGACUUCGU
rnacentral:rRNA from 1 species